CACUCUUACCUUUAACAGGUGUCCCCCCGCCCCCCAACUAUCGAGUCCUCGAUGCCUCUGCCUUUCCUCUCUCUGUGUCUCUCCUCUCCAUCCCCCUUCCCAUCACUCUAUUGAUCUAUCUCUUAGCACCAAGAUAAGCCAAGAGCCUUUGCCUCUCCUUCUUCUUAGACCUGAGGGAUGCUAGAGCCUGACAACAGGGCAGCCAGCCAUCCACUGCUGGAUCUAACCUCUGGGGGCCGCCAGCACUAUUUGACCUUUCCAGAUACUAGCAGCACCCCACCCCCUACUGGUUAGUGAGGUAAUAACCAUCCUAAUCCCUUUAAUUUGUGAUUAAAUAGUAUCAUUUUUAGAAAUAAAUAAAUGAAAUAAUUAUGAUGAAAUAUUUGGAUUGGUAUUAUACAGUUUUGGAUUUAAACUAUACAAGUCUUUAGCAUUAAAUAAUUGUUUAACUUUGCUUUAGGGUUAAGAAGGACCUUUAUUAAUUAUUAUAAAUAAACUAGGAAAAGAUAAUUAAAGAUGCAGAAGAUUUUAGAAAUUAUUCCUAUCUUGACAUAUUUGUCUAGUGGGUUAUUAGAUCUUGGAGGGAAAUUUUUGUCAAAAUUGUCGUAAAAAAAAAUGUUGAAAAUAUUUUAUGCAAAAUAAUGUGUAAAUUAUCAUAAUUUAAAUUUAAUUAUUAAGAAAAUAUCUUCAAUUACAUGAACUAAAUUCUUCAAUUUACUAGUAAUAAAUAUAUUUUUCAAAUAAUCUCAAUUCAUCAUUUGUGCGCAUUAAAUUAUAUCUUUUAAUUAGUUGCGUUGUUUCAACAUAUUGUGGAGCAAAUCUUUCUUCUAUUUGCAUAAAUUGGAUUGAGCAGAAAAAAAAAUUAUUUGUUGAAAAUCCUUCUGCAAAUCAGGUGACAUGACAAAAAAUGUUGUAAAUUAUGCAUAUCUAGAAAUACUGAACCUCUGGAAGAAUUUCAUUUUUGAAACUGAUUGGAUAAUCCCAAAAACUGUAAAAGUUAACAUUUUAAAAUUGGAUAUGCGUGUGUGUGGCGUGUGUGCACGCGCAUGUUUGCCUAGCUACAAUCUGUGACCUGCUCUGCGAAGGUUAAAUAUGGUAUGUGACCUACUCCACGAGAUAUAUGUGAUAUACUGAUCCUUUUGCAGGACAUAUUUGCAAUGUAGUCACAUAACCAGUAGAUUUAAAAUGGAUUUGAAAUUUGAUACUUAUGAUAGAAUAUUUGAAUAUAAGUAUAGAUCCGAAUAUGAAAUUUGGAUUGUAAACUUUACUCCAACAAAAAAUGUAUUACUUCACUAUGGGGAUAUAUUCUAAACUUUUUACUUUGGUAAAAAUAUAUUAGUUCACUAUAUGGAUCUCUGGAGAUGAAUUUAUUUGUAUUUGCUUGGACUCAACUUUUUACAAGAGACUUUUACUGAACUAUUUAGCUCAUUAUUUCCGCUUUCAUCUUUUCAAAUUCAGGGACUUAAGACUAGCAUGAUAUUAUUUUUCGGGAGGGCAACUAGAGAUAAGACUAGAUUUGUAAUAUAGACUAGACCACAUUUUAUUACUUUGUAUAUUAAAGCUACUUGAGGACUGUAUAAGCAAGUACUUGUAGUUCAGAGUCGUAGAAUGGGUGAACUACUCUAUAUAUGCCUUUUGGUGAUCUGUGCAAAUGCAUCAAAUACUUUAUUCAGGGAGUUUAGCUGUUCUGAUACCAUUGCCUGUAUAUGAAUUACAUUGUUCAUGAUUUUUGGAGAUGAAUUUAUUGGUAUUUGCUUGAUUCAACUUUUUACAAGAGACUUUUACCAAGCUAUUUAGCUCAUUAUUUUCACUUUCAUUUUUUCAAAUUCAGGGACUUAAAGACUAGCAUGAUAUUAUUUUUCCGGAGGCUGACUAGAGAUGAGACUUGGUUUGUAAUAUAGACUAGACCACGUUUUAUUAGUUUGUAUAUUGAAGCUACUUGAGGACUAUGUAUAAGCAAGUACUUGUAGUUCAGAGCUGUAGAAUGGGUGAACUACUCUAUAUAUGCCUUUUGUUGAUCUGUGCGAAUGCAUCAAAUAUUUAAUUCAGGGAGUUUAGCUGUUCUGAUAGUUACCAAUGCCUGUAUAUGAAUUACAUUGUUCUUAAAUUAUGUUAAAUUCAUUGAAAGGUGAAAGCAUUACAUACAAGGUCAAUUCCCUGUGAGUAUGCAGUGGUUGCCAUGCUCUUGAAUUCUGAUUUUUCGAUCGAGGACAUGACAGAUGAUUUUCUUGAUUAUGUCUGGGAACACUGUUGUCCCAUUAAUGAAUGUCUUCUAGUGAUAAAGUGUUCACUAUCUAUUUGCACCAGUGAAUUCACCUCCCGACUCAACCCAAGAGUUCUCUGAAAUCUGCAAUCUGCGACUGCAUUGUGCAGAGCCCUUGCACGAUUGCAUACAUAUGGUAGUAAACAGGUGACAACAAAAUUCUAUGCAACAAAAACAUAAUUCUAUAACAGACAUUGAGGUUGCAUGGCUAAUUAAACAUGAAACCUGUACAAUAUGAAAUGCAGAA
rnacentral:lncRNA from 1 species